rnacentral:rRNA from 1 species
CUACGGGAGGCAGCAGUGGGGAAUCUUCCGCAAUGGGCGAAAGCCUGACGGAGCAACGCCGCGUGAGCGAAGACGGCCUUCGGGUUGUAAAGCUCUGUUAUACGGGACGAACGGCUAGUGUGCCAAUACCACAUUAGAAUGACGGUACCGUAAGAGAAAGCCACGGCUAACUACGUGCCAGCAGCCGCGGUAAUACGUAGGUGGCAAGCGUUGUCCGGAAUUAUUGGGCGUAAAGGGCGCGCAGGCGGUUUCA